GCCUGCGGGAACGGAGCGGCGUGAGGGGGACGGGACACGGGAUAUGGGGCACCGGGGCUGCGCAGCGGGGUCCGCGGGAUUGUGGGGCCACUGUGGGGCAGCUGAGGGCUCGGAGUGUGCGGGGAUGGGGACACGGAGGGUGAGGGGACGCGGAAGCGGCUCUGGGGGCUGGUUGAGGAGCCCGAACCCGGCCGAGGUGUAGGGCAUGUGGGGUUUACUGAGAUGCGGGAGGAGAUCUGGGAGCUCGGGGGAUGGAGGAUGGGUAGGGCGGGCACGGGCAGAGGAACUGGGGGCUGAAGAGCUGCAGGGACCUGGUGGGGAGGAUAGAGGGAAGGAGAUGAGAAGAGAAUGUAAACGUGUGGCGUGAGGGAAGGGAGGGAUCCAAAUGGGCCUCUGGAGCCUUGGAGAGACGCUGACUGCAGCAGCAUUUACAGGUGCUGAUGACAUCUUUGUAUUGAUUUCUCUCUUCCUGUGAAGAAAGAAGCAUCUCUGUGGAAUAUACACCUAGGAGCAUGUUUUAGUGGUUUUCCCUUUAGAGGAGAAGCUACCUUGUUUCUGUUAAGGAAGUAGCAAAAACGAAUUUGCUUCAUGCUCCAAUUUUUGAACACUGCCUAGAUGAGCUGUGAAUGUGCCUUAGGUUCAACAAAGAAUUUUUGAAAGACUUGCAAAGUCAGGUCCUGGCAGUGGAUACUGAACAACUCCAGUGCUGCUGUUAAUGUUGAUGAAAUUGUAUUGAGCAACACCAGAGCAUCCUGAGGGUGUAUGUGGUAAAUGAGUCUGUAGAAAUCACAAAUUAGUAUGUAAGUCCAAAGGUUGGUUUAAUAAAGUUGGUACUCCCUGAAAAAA